rnacentral:rRNA from 1 species
UACGUAGGGUGCGAGCGUUGUCCGGAAUUACUGGGCGUAAAGAGCUCGUAGGUGGUUUGUCGCGUUGUUCGUGAAAACCGGGGGCUUAACCCGCGGCGUGCGGGCGAUACGGGCAGACUUGAGUACUGCAGGGGAGACUGGAAUUCCUGGUGUAGCGGUGGAAUGCGCAGAUAUCAGGAGGAACACCGGUGGCGAAGGCGGGUCUCUGGGCAGUAACUGACGCUGAGGAGCGAAAGCGUGGGGAGCGAACAGG